CGUGUGCUGUCAAGAGGACCAGCAAACUGCUUCACUCGCCGGAAUUGCGUUCGGAACUACAGUGCCCUGAAGUAUUUCAGCGGCAAAGAUUCGACGGGAGCGAGAGAAGCAAGAAAAAUAACUCCGUUUUGUCAGAAGGUCAACGAGUUCGUACGGCUUCAAAGCAUCCAAGCAUCUUGAAAUGAAAGCUUGUUGACGUGCGAAUAAAGGCUGCUGUGAAAAAGAGCAACGUGUCCGGAGUGACUGAACUGGAGUUACACCAUCAGAGGUUGCAGGAGUAUUUGCUUGAGCCAAUCCGAGGAAUCUUCAAGGAGGCCUCAGGGUAGACCAUCAAUUGGUUGCUAGCCAAUCUCGGCACAUGGAAACAGACAACAGUCGAGAGCUAUUUAGAGUGUCCAAUUCGUGCAUGUUGUUGGGAUGUGGGAGGAAACCGGAGUACCCGGAGAAAACCCACGCAGUCACUGAGAGAACAUGCAAGCUUGACACAGUCGGGUCCAGGAUUUGAGCCUCGGUCCUCAGAACUGUGAGGCCAACGCUCUACAGGUACUCCACCGUGCUUCCCUUAUUUGAUCCAUAUAAAAUAUUGGGCCAAUUGCAGUAAUGUUUCUGAGGUUGAAAUUGCCAAGAGUAGAGAUGUAGUCAUAAAUUUUGUGUGAAGAUUGUUGACAGAUUUUGGCUUCAAGCAAGAGGCCUGCCGUGUUUUUAUGAUUUUAAUGAUGACACCCAAAUAAAUGGAUUUUUCCACAUAUUAAAUAAGUGGUUGACAUAAUUUUUGAGUAUGAGCUGUUAUUCAUGUGGUGCGAUGACAGAUGAAAGCAAGGUAUGAUAUGUCAUCUUGAACAAUUUCAAAUUUGCAC